UACGAAGGGGGCUAGCGUUGCUCGGAAUGACUGGGCGUAAAGGGCGCGCAGGCGGCCUGUUAGGUCUGGUGUGAAAGCUCCCGGCUCACCUGGGAGAGGGCGCUGGAGACUGGCAGGCUGGAGGGAGGCAGAGGCCGGUGGAAUUCCCGGUGUAGUGGUGAAAUGCGUAGAUAUCGGGAGGAACACCAGUGGCGAAGGCGGCCGGCUGGGCCUUACCUGACGCUGAGGCGCGAAAGCGUGGGGAGCGAACCGG
rnacentral:rRNA from 1 species